rnacentral:sRNA from 1 species
GCAUCUCUGCUGAUCUGAGCCUGUCCUGCAGCAUGGACCUGCAGCUUUCCUGAAGCAUCUCCAGGGCUGGACUGCCAUGAUAUUGAGACCCAGAGACCUGAUUCUCAGCCAGCUGAUCUUAGCGAACAACCUGGUUCUUUUCUCUAAAGGAAUCCCCCAGACAAUGGCAGCUUUUGGAAUGAAAUCCUUCCUGGAUGAGGCUGGAUUAAACUUGUCUUCUAUCUAUACACAGAGUGGCCAGAGGGGUUUCCCUCAGCACCACCUGUCUCCCAGUGGCUUCCAGGCCAUGAAGCUUCACCUCAGUAUCUCUGGGAGGAUGGAACUCCAAAUUAGGUCCACAAAGUGCAUUGUUUUCUGCUGCCCCCUCUGCUGGAUCUUGCAAAUUGUGGCAAAUACCUAUAUUGCAAUGCAUGUAACUGGCCCAAUGAAGAGCAAAAAAGUGAGUAUGGAAUAAAUGUAUAGGUACUGCUCCUCACCCAUUCUAGGAUGAUUGCUAUUCUUAGUAAAGGCAGUUAUUUUCUCCCUUGUGGAUGGUAUGUCUUUGGCCCUCGUGGACUACACCAGCAGCUCCAUGAUCCUCUUCUUAUAUAGACACAAGCAGACAGUCCAAUGCAUUCGCAGCCACAGCCUCUCCCCCUGAAAGUCCCAUGAAACUAGAGCCACACACACCAUCCUCAUCCUGGUGAGCAUGUUUGUCUCCUCUCAUGGUCUAGCUGGUAUUUUAUCAUUGUGGGUAACCUGGAUUCAGAACCCAAGCCAUUGGCUGAGAAGCAUCUCCUUCCUGGUGUCUGCAGGAUUCCCGACAUUCAGCCCCUUUGUGUUCAUUGUCAGUGACACCUGCGUCUCACAGGUCUGCACUGUCUGCUGGACAAGGAAGACAAAUGCUCCAAGUGUGGUCUCUGGGCUCUAAGUUCCCUCUGGACAAUUGCGUCCUUUAUUUAAUCACUUCUCCUCACAAUAUUUGUUGGAUCAUACAUUAUGCCAGUUAAUAUGCAAGGACCUUGGGACUCAGUAUUGAAUAAAAAUGAUAAUAACCAUAGCCUCAUAUUGCUUCUUAGACUCUCAAAAAAUGAACACAGUAUAAAAAUUACCCAAAUGUAUGUCAGUUCCUCAGAAGAUUAAACAUAGAAUUACCAUAUGACCUGGCAAUUUCUGGGAAAAUUAAAGCAAGGAUUUAAAGGGAUGCUCAUAUACUCAUGUUCAUACGGCGUUAUUCACAUUAACAAAGAGUAGAAACAACCCAAAGAUGGAUAAAUGGAUAAACAAAUGUUAUACAAACUACAAAACACUGUUCAGUCUCUAAAAGAAAUGAAAUUGUGACUGACAUACACUAUAAUAUGGAGAGCCUUGAAGAUAUUAUGCUAAGUGAAAUAAGCCAGUCUCAUAAAGGACAAAUAUUGCUAAGAUUCUAUCUAUACAAGCUACCUAGAUUGGUCAAACUCGCAGACUCAGGAAGUAGUGUCAUGGUUAACAGAGGCUUGGGGGCCUGGAAACGGAGAGUUGGUGUUUACUGAAUAUAAAGUUUCAACUGGGAAAGAGAAAACAUUUUGGGGAUGCUGAUGGUGAUGGUUGCACAGCAAUGUCAAACCACUUCACACUACUGUACUGUAGAGUGAGAAAUAGUAAAUACGGUAAAUUUUA